rnacentral:misc_RNA from 1 species
CAGAGUUGCAAGACUCCCUAAACCAUUGUGAACCUACCUUCUACCGUUGCUUCGGCGGGCGGGCGCCCAGCGCCCCCCCCGGCCCCCCGCGGGCGCCCGCCGGAGGAUACCCAAACUCUUGACAUUAGUGGCCUCUCUGAGUAUUCUUUACUGAAUAAGUCA